rnacentral:rRNA from 1 species
GGUGUAGACCCGAAACCAGAUGAGCUAUCCAUGGCCAGGUUGAAGGUGUGGUAACACACACUGGAGGACCGAACCGACUAGUGUUGCAAAAUUAGCGGAUGAGCUGUGGAUAGGGGUGAAAGGCCAAACAAAUCUGGAGAUAGCUGGUUCUCCCCGAAAACUAUUGAGGUAGUGCCUCGUGUGUCGCUCCAGGGGGUAGAGCACUGUUUUGGCUAGGGGGACAUGGAGUCUUACCAAACCAAGGCAAACUCCGAAUACCUGGAAGCGUAAGCACGGGAGACAGAGCACCGGGUGCUAACGUCCGGACUCAAAAGGGAAACAACCCAGACCGCCGGCUAAGGUCCCCAAUAACAGCUAAGUGGAAAACGAAGUGGAAAGGCCGUGACAACCAGGAAGUUGGCUUAGAAGCAGCCAUCCUUCAAAGAAAGCGUAAUAGCUCACUGGUCGAGUCCUUCUGCGCGGAAGAUGUAACGGGGCUAAGCUGUUAACCGAAGCCGCGGAUGCACUGAUUAUUCAGUGCGUGGUAGGGGAGCGUUCUGUAAGUCUGCGAAGGCGGUUCGAGAGGACUGCUGGAGAUAUCAGAAGUGCGAAUGCUGACAUGAGUAACGUUAAAGCAGGUGAAAAGCCUGCUCGCCGUAAGCCCAAGGAUUCCUGCUCUACGUUCAUCGGAGCAGGGUGAGUCGGCUCCUAAGGUCAGGCCGAAAGGCGUAGCCGAUGGGAAUCAGGUUAAUAUUCCUGAACCUGCGUCAGAUGCGAUGGGGGGACGGAGCAUGAAAGAUCAUCCGGGUGUUGGAUGUCCCGGUUGACGAGCGUAGGAGGUCUGCAGGCAAAUCCGCAGACGCAUCUCCAAGGCGAAGUCACGUGCCGCCACGGCGGCGAAGUGAUCGGAAGUGCUUCCAAGAAAAGCCUCUAAGCACCAGUCUGGCGCGGACCGUACCGCAAACCGACACUGGUGGGCGAGCUGAAUAUGCUCAGGCGCUUGAGAGAACUCGGGAGAAGGAACUCGGCAAAUUGACACCGUAACUUCGGAAGAAGGUGUGCCGUAGUACCGUGAGAGGAGAGACACCUUGAGCGGGAAUCGGUCUCAGAGAAUAGGUGGCUGCGACUGUUUAUUAAAAACACAGCACUCUGCAAAGUCGAAAGACGACGUAUAGGGUGUGAUGCCUGCCCGGUGCUGGAAGAUUAAUUGAUGGGGUGAGAGCCCUUGAUCGAAGUCCCAGUAAACGGCGGCCGUAACUAUAACGGUCCUAAGGUAGCGAAAUUCCUUGUCGGGUAAGUUCCGACCUGCACGAAUGGCAUAACGAUGGCCACACUGUCUCCUCCCGAGACUCAGUGAAGUUGAAAUGUUUGUGAUGAUGCAAUCUACCCGCGGCUAGACGGAAAGACCCCAUGAACCUUUACUGCAGCUUUGCAUUGAACUGUGAACCGAUUUGUGUAGGAUAGGUGGGAGGCAGAGAAGAGGCCACGCCAGUGGUCUUGGAGCCGACCUUGAAAUACCACCCUGAUUUGUUUGCGGUUCUAACCACGGACAGUGAUCCUGUCUUGGGACCGUGCAUGGUAGGCAGUUUGACUGGGGCGGUCUCCUCCUAAAGGGUAACGGAGGAGUACGAAGGUACGCUAGGUACGGUCGGAAAUCGUGCUGAUAGUGCAAUGGCAAAAGCGUGCUUGACUGCGAGAGCAACAACUCGAGCAGAUGCGAAAGCAGGUCAUAGUGAUCCGGUGGCUCUGAAUGGAAGGGCCAUCGCUCAACGGAUAAAAGGUACUCUGGGGAUAACAGGCUGAUACCGCCCAAGAGUUCAUAUCGACGGCGGUGUUUGGCACCUCGAUGUCGGCUCAUCUCAUCCUGGGGCUGUAGUCGGUCCCAAGGGUAUGGCUGUUCGCCAUUUAAAGAGGUACGUGAGCUGGGUUUAAAACGUCGUGAGACAGUUUGGUCCCUAUCUGCCGUGGGCGUUGGAAGAUUGACGGGGGCUGCUCCUAGUACGAGAGGACCGGAGUGGACGCACCUCUGGUGUACCGGUUGUCACGCCAGUGGCAUUGCCGGGUAGCUAAGUGCGGAAGAGAUAACCGCUGAAAGCAUCUAAGCGGGAAACUUGCCUGAAGAUGAGUCUUCCCGGAGGUAAAACCUCCCUCAAGAGUCGUCCGAGACCAGGACGUCGAUAGGUCAGGUGUGUAAGCGCUGUGAGGCGUUGAGCUAACUGAUACUAAUUGCUCGUGAGGCUUGAUCCU